UACGAAGGGGGCUAGCGUUGCUCGGAACCACUGGGCGUAAAGGGUGCGUAGGCGGGUUUUUAAGUCAGGGGUGAAAUCCUGGAGCUCAACUCCAGAACUGCCUUUGAUACUGAAGAUCUUGAGUUCGGGAGAGGUGAGUGGAACUGCGAGUGUAGAGGUGAAAUUCGUAGAUAUUCGCAAGAACACCAGUGGCGAAGGCGGCUCACUGGCCCGAUACUGACGCUGAGGCACGAAAGCGUGGGGAGCAAACAGG
rnacentral:rRNA from 1 species